rnacentral:tRNA from 1 species
UCAUUGAAUUUCACGGGAGUCAAGAUGUAGAGGAGGCUAUCUUGCGUAGGAGGAAGGUGUUAGCGGUCAGUGCAGG